UACGAGGGGUGCAAACGUUAUUCGGAAUGAUUGGGCGUAAAGGGCGUGUAGGCGGCCCGCUAAGUCUGAUGUGAAAGCCCGGGGCUCACCCCCGGAAGUGCAUUGGAAACUGGCGGACUCGAGUCCCGGAGAGGAGGGUGGAAUUCCUGGUGUAGCGGUGAAAUGCGUAGAUAUCAGGAGGAACACCGGUGGCGAAGGCGGCCUUCUGGACAGUGACUGACGCUGAGACGCGAAAGCGUGGGGAGCAAACAGG
rnacentral:rRNA from 1 species